rnacentral:snRNA from 1 species
AUUAUACUCUCUAGUCUAUACUAAAAUUGGAUCGAUACAGAGAAGAUUAGCAUGGCCCCUG